rnacentral:rRNA from 1 species
UACAGAGGUCCCAAGCGUUGUUCGGAUUCACUGGGCGUAAAGGGUGCGUAGGCGGUCGGGUAAGUCUGAUGUGAAAUCUCACAGCUUAACUGUGAAACUGCAUUGGAUACUAUCCGGCUCGAGGAAUGGAGGGGAGACUGGAAUACUUGGUGUAGCAGUGAAAUGCGUAGAUAUCAAGUGGAACACCAGUGGCGAAGGCAAGUCUCUGGACAUUUCCUGACGCUGAGGCACGAAAGCCAGGGGAGCAAACGGG